rnacentral:lncRNA from 1 species
CCGGCCCUGCGGCAUCCUCCCCCGGGGCUAUUUGCUCCCUCCAGAGCGGAGCAGAGAAUGCCUUCCUGGAGGCGAAGGACUUGCCAGGGUCUUGCCUGUCAGGUGCCCAUGAAGUGACCUCCGUGAGGAGACCGACCCUCAAUAUCCAGCUUCUUUUGCUGUAUCCAGCCUGCUAUCCACAGCUUGUCCUGGAACAUGCACAGAAAGCAUUACCUCCCCAGCUCACACAGACUGCUGGCGAUGACUUCUUCAAACUAGUUACUUAAUGAACAUCAUCCAAUUCCGACUCAGCCUUGC